GUCCAAGCCGUAAAUUUUGUUCGCUAGGUGUUUGGUUCGAGUAAUCGGAUUGAGUGCCGUACCUAACGGGUUAAGCGAAUCGCCUGGGGAAGUAUACUCGCAAGAGUGAAAACUCAAAGGGAUAGGCGGGGGAACACACAAGCAGUGGAUUAUCUAGAUUAAUUGGAUAAUAAGCCAAGAAUCUUACCUAGGCUUGACAUACAUUGUGUCUUAUAAGAAAUUAUAAUAUCUAUAGCAAUAUAGAGCUAUGUACAGGUGGUGCAUGGUCGUCGU
rnacentral:rRNA from 1 species